AACGAACGCUGGCGGCAGGCUUAACACAUGCCAGUCGAGCGCAUCCUUCGGGGUGAGCGGCGGACGGGUGAGUAACGCGUGGGAACGUGCCCUCUUCUACGGAAUAGCCUCGGGAAACUGAGAGUAAUGCCGUAUACGCCCGCAAGGGGAAAGAUUUAUCGGAGGAGGAUCGGCCCGCGUUGGAUUAGGUAGUUGGUGGGGUAACGGCCUACCAAGCCGACGAUCCAUAGCUGGUUUGAGAGGAUGAUCAGCCACACUGGGACUGAGACACGGCCCAGACUCCUACGGGAGGCAGCAGUGGGGAAUCUUGGACAAUGGGGGCAGCCCUGAUCCAGCCAUGCCGCGUGAUCGAUGAAGGCCUUAGGGUUGUAAAGAUCUUUCAGCUGGGAAGAUAAUGACGGUACCAGCAGAAGAAGCCCCGGCUAACUCCGUG
rnacentral:rRNA from 1 species